CAGCAGCCGCGGUAAUACGUAGGGUGCAAGCGUUAAUCGGAAUUACUGGGCGUAAAGCGUGCGCAGGCGGUCCGUUAAGACAGAUGUGAAAUCCCCGGGCUUAACCUGGGAACCGCAUUUGUGACUGGCGGGCUAGAGUAUGGCAGAGGGGGGUAGAAUUCCACGUGUAGCAGUGAAAUGCGUAGAGAUGUGGAGGAAUACCGAUGGCGAAGGCAGCCCCCUGGGCCAAUACUGACGCUCAUGCACGAAAGCGUGGGGAGCAAACAGGAUUAGAUACCCCUGUAGUCCCUGUCUCUUAUAC
rnacentral:rRNA from 1 species